ensembl:snoRNA SNORD79 Small nucleolar RNA SNORD79
UACUGUUAGUGAUGAUUUUUGAAAUUAAAAACAGAUGGGAAUCUCUCUGAAAAAGAGUGAAGAUUUCUUAAACGCUGAAACAGUA